GUCUCCAGUCUACUAUGGAUGAGGAGAUAAGGGAGGGGGGUCCUACCUCUAAGACCAUUCUGUCUGGGGAACAUGGCCGCCGGAGCAAAGCUAAGAGAGUCCAGCAGCAGAGAGCAGACUCCCCUGGACCCAGCUGUGUCUCCAUGAAGAGUGACCGCUCUAUGGAGGAACCUUGGAACUUUAAAGAUGGAAAUAAGUCUAUCGAGGAGAGGUGAGGAUUUAAACAGUGUCCCGUCGGAGGUGGUGUGAAUGAGAGGAGGGAUAAGGCUGUUUUAGUGAUGAGGUUGACAUGGUGUGAAUGAGAGGAGGGGUAAGACUAUUUUAAUGAUGUGGUUGACUUGGUGUGAAUGAGAGGAGGGAUAAGACUGUUUUAGUGAUGUGGUUGACAUGGUGUGAAUGAGAGGAGGGAUAAGGCUGUUUUAGUGAUGUGGUUGACAUGGUGUGAAUGAGAGGAGGGAUAAGGCUGUUUUAGUGAUGUGGUUGACAUGGUGAAUGAGAGGAGGGAUAAGGCUGUUUUAGUGAUUAGGUUGACAUGGUGUGAAUGAGAGGAGGGGUAAGACUAUUUUAAUGAUGUGGUUGACAUGGUGUGAAUGAGAGGAGGGAUGAGGCUGUUUUAGUGAUGUGGUUGACAUGGUGUGAAUGAGAGGAGGGAUAAGGCUGUUUUAGUGAUGUGGUUGACAUGGUGUGAAUGAGAGGAGGGAUGAGGCUGUUUUAGUGAUGUGGUUGACAUGGUGUGAAUGAGAGGAGGGAUAAGGCUGUUUUAGUGAUGGGGUUGACAUGGUGUGAAUGAGAGGAGGGAUAAGGCUGUUUUAGUGAUGUGGUUGACAUGGUGAAUGAGAGGAGGGAUAAGGCUGUUUUAGUGAUUUGGUUGACUUGGUCUGAUCUUGUUUAUCUAGAAGAGUCCAGCAGCAGAGAGCAGACUCCCCUGGACCCAGCUGUGUCUCCAUGAAGAGUGACCUCUCUAUGAAUAUACCUCCUCUCCUUAAAGAUGGACGCCCCUCCAGAGAGGAGAGGUAGGAGCAUUAAACAGACGAUGACAACAGAACAGUUGGUUGUUAUCAGACUCUAUAGAUACUCUCUCUCAAAAUCCAUCAUUAACUAACUGAAGAGGAUUACUGGUUUACCUGUACUCCACACACACACACACACACACACACACACACACACACACACACACACACACACACACACACACACACACACACACACACACACACACACACACACACACACACAAAGCCAUUUACCAAUAAAUCAUCCACAAGCGGAUAAGAUACCAUCAAAUUUAUGAAUCCAACAUGGGGGGAAUCCCUUGUUAUUGCAGCUCAAGAGUCAAAAGCACAGCCAAAGAGAAAUUAAGUGAAAAAUAAAAAUGCAAAAUACAUAAAAAAAUGUAAUAAAGAUAAAAAGCGUAGGAUAAUAACUAAAUAAAUACAAUUACACAGAAUACUUGCACAGUAUAAUUAUAAACAUAAUUGCAGACAAUAAUAUUCUCUCUCUCUCUCUCCCUCUCUCCUCCCCUUGUAUGUUUACUGUGUGUGUUUAUGUUCACUGUGUGUGUGUUCUCUCCACAGACAACCCCACCAGAGGUCAAAGGUUAGCAGUGCUCAGUCUGUACAGCAGCAUCAAACAGAGCUGAUCAAGGUGCGUAAAUGUCCACCAAGACAUCUGACUUCAGCUCUACAUGAACAUUGGAAAGCAUCUCUUGUGGUGCUAAUAGUCUCCAGGCUUCCCUCGUUAGACCAGCGGACGUGAAUCCAGGACAGAUUCUUCUGAUGACCUCAGUGAGU
ensembl:lncRNA